AGGUGGCCUUUGCUCGAGACGCUGAUUCCCGUCCAAACUUCUUGAUUCACCUGAAAAAUUCUUUUUCCUUUGGGGAAUGAAAAUCUGCUAGCAACUCCAGACAUUCUUUGGAAAAUCUAGUAACUGGAAAAACCAAAGCUGGCAAACCUACCGGGCAUUUGAACUCCAGAUUUCGUCGGUGUCGCAACGAAUUCAACAGGACAUUUUCAUUACUUCAAACUAAACGCCUUCUUGGGGAAGGAUGGAAAGGAAUGAUUCGAUCAAUGAAAAGAUGAUGUCCCGCUGAGAAAUCCCAAUCGAUGAGCAGAGGGCAAGGGAGUUGAUGAAGGAAGAGAAGUAAUGUUUGCUGGGUGGACCAUUGGCAAUCCAUUUUUCACUUGGAGCCAAGCUUAGUGAUGGUGCUGGUCCUUCGGUGAGCCAGUCUGAGGCAAAGAUGGAUGGAAGGCAUUUUCCCUUUCCCUUCGCAAAGAACAGACAGAUAAAAGGCGUCAUCAGAUUCCCACCCACGAACCCCCGGAUUUCAGUGGCGGUUUAGGAGAGGCACGAACGACACGGAGUUUCCUCACGGUUCAGGAAGCUAAUGCUGAGAUUCAACCCGGUUCCCCGAAGCGUGCGGCCACACCUGCUCCAGCCAAACCUCCGCCUCUGCAU